UAAAAGCAUGAGCUAUUCAUGGCCGCUUUCUAGUAGUAGUAAGGAGGAGGGGGAGAUGAAUAGACGUAAGGGUGAGGUGACGGUGGUGGUGGGGACUUGUAGACAGGAGGUGGCGGGGAAUAGGAAAUUGGAUUUGGUGCCGGAGCAGGCUCGUAGACUGGUGGAGGAGGUGGCGGGGAGUUGUAGAGCGGGGGUGGUGGUGGAGACUUGUGAGCCGGUGGCGGGGGUGGUGGAGAUUUGUACUGGGGAGGGGGAGGUGGUGGUGGUGGAUAUUUCUUUGGUGGGGGAGGAGAUGUGUAGUAGUAAUUGUUUGCGGAGGCUUCUAAUGGCAAGUAGCUAAGAGAGACUGAUAUUACCAAAAGAGUGGCAAAGAGAUAGCCCGUUUGAGACCCCAUCGUUCAAUACAAAGUGGAGUUUCGCUUGUGCUAUAAACCAAGCUCCU
rnacentral:lncRNA from 1 species